CCUCAAACUAACAAAUUAUCAUAGACAGAAUGUAGCUAAUAGAAUGUUUAGAGGUGUCCUCUGGAAAAGAAUAAAAUGAUUUUUGAAUCUUCCUACCUCAAUGAUUAUUUUGAAAUGGGACAUGAUCAAUUGCAGGACCAGUUUGAUCCAAGAUCCUUCUGCAAUAAGCCGCUGUUACCUCAACUCCUUUUCUCAGCUUUGCCAUGCUUAAUUUUAGCUACUAGUGUGUGAUUGUAUCUGGUCUCUGCCUAUCUUCAGCUUCAAUCCUUCCCAAAUUUUUCUAGGCCUGUUCAUCAUCCUUCAAAGACAUCAACCAGAGUUGGUACAUUUCUUGACAUACUUGUGACCCAUCAGAGUCAGCUAAGAGGUAGUUUUCUUUUGUGAUUCUAUAGUACAAAACAGAAUUUUUGUGUUGCCUCCAACUGUGGCAAUAGCUAGCAAUGAUGUUUAUCACUCGAAAAUAUCGCGGGCAGGGAAACUCCACACAGCGAAGCAUAAGUAAAUUUAAGAAAGAAUCCAUGGAGAUCAGAUUGCAUGGUUCAGUCCCCAAGAGUUCUUAAAAGAAACUUCAGCUUAAUCCAGCUCCCUCAGGCUACAGUGAGCUGCUGCAAUUUAAGCCUGGAUGUAAUCACCAAACUGAAGGUAACUCCACAAAUAUUUGUAUCUUUUCAAGGUUCUUUGUGCAUUUUGAGUUCUUGAUAGCUAGACAAAGUCUUUCAUCCAGUGGCUUUUAAGCUCAAGCUUGUGUAAAAUGUCACUGGCACUGCUCGAGACUGCAUCUCUGACCAAGCACUCCUAGGGUAGCUAUUAAGAAAUUCCAUAAGCACGGUUAUAGCAAUGUUUGCACAGCCCAUUCUCUCACCAUGAUAUUAUGAAUGCCA
rnacentral:lncRNA from 1 species